CGCCACCUUCCGCGUAGCUCUCUUGCCUCUCUCUCCUUGAUAUUCAUCUCUUUUCUCUCUCCUCAUUUUCUCUGCACACACACUCUCAGGCUCUCAGCCAUUCGACCUACUCAUGUUCUAGGGUUCUAAACUUCCAUUUCUUUUUUUCAUAAUUCACUCCAUCAACUACCAAACCAUUCUCACUCCUAACUAUCAAUUUCAAAUCGAAACUCUACAUUCUUAUUUACAAACUGCGAUGAACAAAAAUUAGGGUUUUGAACUUUCGAUUCUUCAGAAAAGAUCUGAUUUGCCCCCUUUGCUUCUUCCCACUCUCUCGAACCCGAAUCCAACACCAGAGAUGAAGAUUGUUGCCGCUUGCUUGUUGUCUUCUUUGGGCGGUAAAGCUUGCCCUACUGUUGAUGAUAUCAAGAAAAAUCUUAGAUCAGUUAAUGCAGGGGCUUCUUGGUUUCAGCUAGGCCAGUUAAUGCAGAGGCUUCUUGGUUUCAGCUAGGCGCAAAAGUAGUGGGCUCACAAAUAAUGUAAACCAGUCAAUAUGAAAACUAUACGUGAAUUUUCAAUGAUUGAAGAUCUACAUUCAUACCUUGACAGUUUGAUUAGCUUUACCAUCAAGUCUGAAUUUUGAUAUGAAGGCGUUCUCUUCAACAUCAACAUUGUUGAAGCUAGCACCGGUCUUCACAAUGGGUUCUUUUGAUAGGGUGUCAGUCGGAGCUUGAACCAGUCCAAUUUCCAAAGGCCAAUGUCCAUUACUAAAUUCUUUGAUCCGCUAUGUCACCUUCUGCGCGUGCCGCAACCCCGUGCUCUGGCAUCUGCCGCAUCCCCGUGCUCUGGCAUCUGCCGCAUCCCCGCCACACUUCUCUCCCUGCCUAACUCCCGGGAACUCAUGAAGUAUUUCAACUAAGGACGCAUUGCGAGCACAUUAAUUUGUAACAAAAUUCGCGAUGCGCUGUUCGGAGAUCAGAUUACAACGUCAAAAAGAUGCCCUCCAGCCCAAAGGGACUUAUGAAAUCACAGAUGCUCCAAUCCGAUCUGCAGACCAGCAGUGUCAAAGAAACGAAUUUGAGAUGAUAUGAGAAGAGACUAUAUAUAUGGGACGAGAGUGGAAGAAAGCUCAACCCAGAUUAGAGUAUUGGGAAAGUGGAAGGCAAGUCAUAACAAGAAUAGCAUUGCUACUGUUGAUUGUUUGCUUGGACGGAACAUUGCCUGCUUCUCAUUGGGAUCGUGGGUUUGGGUCAGGGGCCAACAAUUGGCUUAUUCAAUUAGAGCUGGAAACUCUCUUGAAAUUUUAUGUUCCGGUAUAUCGAAAUCUUACCCUCCAGUGCUUAUCUGAGAAAGUACGGUAUCCAGGUUAUAACAGACCUGCACGCAGCACCCGGGUCACAAAAUGGGAAUGAACACAGUGCAACUAGAGAUGGAUCUCUUGACUGGGGAAAAACUGAUGAAAAUGUUCAACAAAGUGUUGAUGUUAUUGACUUCUUAGCUUCACGGACUGAGCAAAGUUUGACUUCAGAACAUCUGAGGGAAAUUUUAGAAAGAAUUGAAACAGAUGGUUUCGAUACAUGUUUCCCUCUUUUGACAUGAACGAGGCCCACAAACAUGUUUCCCCAGCUUUCUUGAACUCAAAAUUUUCUCAGUCUUGCAAAGAAUUAUGAACAUAUAUAAGUAUAUAGGUUCACGUGAGAACCACCUUAAGGUGAGAACUUCUCUUAACAUGAGAACCUCAAUCUUACCAUUGAUUUACUGAAAUCUGGGCCAGUCAUUACUUUUAUGAAUUAAUCCCUAUCACCCGUGAUUUUCUAUCUGUUCCCUUCCUCUUUCUAUGUACUGAUUAAUUUUCUCUCUCAUAUUUCUCAAAUUUCACCCCCAAUUCUCAAAUUUCCCCAAUUUCUUACUAAUUUUAUAAUUUCUUUGAAGAUCUCUAUCAAAAUCAAAAAUAGUUUUUUGUUUAUGGCAAAGUGAAGAAUUGCAGUGUGCAGACUUGACAUGGUGAUCAAGCAAUUUGCAGACUUGAUAUGGUGAUCAAGAAGCGCGGGUCCUUUUUUGGUUUUUUUAUCUUCUGUUUUAUGUAGAUGUUAUAUGAAAUUGCUAAUUGUAAUAAUUUUUUUUUUAUGAAAGCUAAUUGUGUGGAUAGUAAGAUCUUGUUCGUUCUUUUGCAAUGGAAAUUAAAGCUACUUGCAGUGGAACAUUAAUGAAGUAUUUGUUGUCAUCUUAUUA